rnacentral:rRNA from 1 species
AUGAUUUGGCAGACCGUCAACAGCAUCCCCCUGUCGAACGACCCAAACCGGCUGCUCUGGAGAUGGACGGCCAAUGGCAACUACUCGGCUCAGUCAUGCUACGCGGCCACCUUCGAAGGCUCAACGCGAUGCACUUCCUGGAAGCUCGUCUGGAAAACCUGGGCGCCGCCACGUGUGAAAUUCUUCCACUGGUUGGCUAACCAAGAUCGAUGCUGGACGGCGGAAAGAUUAGCCCGACGUGGCCUGCAACAUCACCCAAGGUGCCUCCUAUGUGAUCAAGCAGCAGAAUCCAUCCAGCACCUACUCCUGACCUGCCCCUUCGCUCGCCAAACAUGGCAUGCCACCCUGACUUGGCUGCGCAUGCCAACCCAGGCGCCGGUCCAGGAGCCCACUGUCAUGGCAUGGUGGCUGCGAGCGAACGAGCAAACACCGACGACGCAUCGCAAGGCCCUCAGGUCCAUCGCCUUGCUCGUCCCAUGGAUGAUCUGGAAACAUAGGAAUGAGUGCGUCUUUGACAAUGCGACACCCUCGAUUGAUUUGCUAGUAGAUAGAAUCAAAGAAGAGGCCCGCUGUUGGGCCAGUGCCGGAGCCCAGGGGCUAAGGGUUGUUCUGCCCACCUCCUGGGACGUGCAUUGA